GGAAAAUGGUGAUGAUGGGGUAUUAGGAACUCCAUCCAGAGUCAUCCAAUAUGAAGCUCCUGAUUUGGGUUCCGAAGAUGUAUAUGGUGUAUGGAGAAUUGAUGAUACAGAUCAUAGUUUCUCCACACAGCCUUUCCGAAUCAAAUAUGCGAGGCAGGAUAUUCUUCUCUCCAUGAUGGUCUCCUUCAACUUAUCUCUGAACAAACAUGAGGGCCCAUCGACAUCUGGUGUCAUUCUGAAAUUUGAGCUUUUCUAUGCACCUAUAUUGGAGAAUGGGACUAGUCUACA
rnacentral:misc_RNA from 1 species